UAGUAACGGCGAGUGAAGAGGGAAAAGCUCAAAUUUUGAAUCUGGUGUCUUUGACUCCCGAGUUGUAAUCUAGAGAAGUGUUUUCCGUGUUGGACCGUGCACAAGUUCCCUGGAACGGGGCGUCAUAGAGGGUGAGAAUCCCGUAUAUGGCACGGACUGCCGAUGCUUUUGUGAUACACUCUCAACGAGUCGAGUUGUUUGGGAAUGCAGCUCAAAAUGGGUGGUAAAUUCCAUCUAAAGCUAAAUAUUGGCGAGAGACCGAUAGCGAACAAGUACCGUGAGGGAAAGAUGAAAAGCACUUUGGAAAGAGAGUGAAACAGUACGUGAAAUUGUUGAAAGGGAAGCGUUUGAAGUCAGUCGUAUCUGGCGGGAUUCAGCUGGGCUUUUGCCCGGUGUACUUCUCGUCCGAUGGGUCAGCAUCAAUUUCGAUCGGGGGAAAAAGAUGUGGGGAAUGUGGCUGUCUUC
rnacentral:rRNA from 1 species